UUGGAUAUAAUAAAAAUAUUUAAUAAAAUAUUCUAUUUUCUUAUAAAACAAUAUUUAUAAAGUUACAAGUAAAUAAUUUUUGUAGCGUAAAAGCUAAAUAAAUUCAUACAUACUAUAAUUUAGAUAACCAAAGUAUAACAUUUAAUUUAUAGUGACACGUAGGCGCACGAACGACCAAAAGUAUCAAAAGAGGUAAACCUACAGUUUUUUAGGAUGCAAGUCCGACUGUAGCCCUCAGCGAAAUGAGCUAUCUACCGACUAUCCUGAGCCUGAAAUGGGUGGAAAGAAGGGUGGUGAGAUUAUAUAAUCCCAGUGAGUAAACAGAUACCAUCAAAAAUAUCUAAAACUGAGUAAAUGGAGACAGAUAGAAUAAUUUAACAUACUAUAAUUCAUCACCUUUCAACUUGUUUCAAACAAAUAAAAUCAAUUCAUAUAAAUCGAGUAAUCAACAUGGCUUAUAAAUUUCUUAAAACUUUGGCUCGUGCCAAAACCAUUCUCAUACCUAGUUAUCAGGGAUGCCUUGAUCAAGGGCUAUCCCAACCGAGUCUGCCAAGGUUGUUAAAAAGUUAUAUACACAUAAAUCAUGUUUUUAUUUUGAAAACAUAGCCGUUCCUUGGCGUUGGUCGAGUUCCCCUCACGUGGUGGUUGGGCGUGAAGUGAACUUUAAAGUUUGACCUCGGGAGUUACCCUACGCACCUUUCCAAUCGAGGUAUAUAUAUAUGACCAGGUUCCGUGACCCUUUAAUAGGUUGGUCCACAGAACCAGCCCACUGCAGCAAGCUAAACCCACCAUACAAUAAAAAUUCAACAGCAUGAUAUGACAAUUUUAUCAUUAUCCAGCCUAUCAAGGCAAACAACAGUUUAUGCAUUUCAACACAAAUACCAAUUCAACCAUUCAUGCCAAUAUUGUCAUAAGCCAAUCAAUUAGAACCAUAAAUUCACAAUACAUCAAAUGGUCUCCAAUUACUCUAUUUUCAAAGCCUUCAUUCAAUUUCAAGACCAUUUAUGAAAUCAUUUUAUUUAAACACAUUUUGUUUAUAAAACCUAAAAAUUUACCAUUUAAACUCAUUUUUCAUAAAAUCACAAAAUUGGAUAAAAACCACUCUAGAUAAUUAAGAUGAUAGUAAGGUUACUCACAAUGUCUAGAGUGUGAAUUUUCAAAGUACUCUGACUACUGGUCCUCGGAUGCAAUUUCCUUGCCUUUAUCGGAGGACUCGCCACCUUGACAUAGUACAAAAUUGAGAAACUUACUACAUUGGUACUAAAUCGAAAUUAAACUAAUUUAGACUAUUAAUGCAUGAUAAGGAAUGCAAAAUGCACGGGUAACCAUCUAAACCCGAUAUUGACCUAAUUCAUCUUAUCACACCGAUUAAUUGGCCAAUACGUCCAAUUUAGCUCCAAAUUGCUCCAUUUCUUUUCCAAUACCUUAAUUCACCAAACACAAAUCAAAUAACCUAAAAUUUGGCAAAACCAAAAUUCACUUUUUUUCUUAGCAUUUUUGGUUAAUAAUGGUGCAUUAACACUGUGAUUUUUCCUACUACUUUUCCACACCAUAAUUCAUCAUUUUCUAACCAAUUCUCUUAAAAUAAAAAAUCAAAUUCAUCCUCACUCAAUACAAGGUCGGUUCGGCCAUUGAUGGGUGAUGGGGAAAAUGAAUUCCUUUCUUGUUGUUUUGCUUCUAGACAUUAUAAACUAACUAAAAACACUAACAUAACUUGAAAUCAAAUCAAUCCAAUAUCAUUCUCUCUCCAUACCCAUUCAGCUAGCCAUGAAUUCGCCAUUAAAACAUGAAAUUUAACCAUGGAAAAUAAGGAGAAAUGCUUAAGGAAAAUAGAUUUCAAGUUUAAAUUGCGAAAUCCUACCUUUUUCACUAGUUUUCCUUGAUUUUCCACACUUUUUCUCUUGAAAUUCUCCACCUAGGGUUCAUGUUCUUUCUUUUCUUCCUUUGUUCUUCUUUGGCCCACCAUAUGAAUGAGAAAUAGGCUGAUUUUGUGCGAAUUUAUAAGGAAAAUAAUGAAUGGAUGAGAUUUUUGACACAUGUCACCAUUCCAUUGGUCCAUGUGUCAUACUUAGCCAUUAAGCAAUCUCUCUCCACCACUUAAAUUUUCUCAAUUAUCCAUGAUAAUAUUGGGUAAAAUUCAUGUGCUGGACAAGUUUUGGGUAGUGUAAAAUUAUAAUUUUUCCCUUGGGGCUUCAAAAUGACUAUUUUACCCCUAUGCUCAAAAAAAUGUCGGAAUUAAAAUUCUUCACUUCUCAAACUCAUAUUAUACUCCCAAUGAUCAAUCUUGAUCAAAAGCUUCUUCCAACAUUCAAAUUUUUAACCUCGGAUGGCAAAAUGACUAUUUUACUCCUAGAUCAUGAAAGUUCCAAUUUGACUCCAAAUCAGUCCUCGAACUCCGAAUCACCAUUUUAAGUCAUUCUGGGGUUUUAAAAUUCUCAAUUUCAUCUUAAAAUCUCUAUUUGGACUAGUUCGAGGCUUAAUUCAACUUAAUUGUACCAUUUGGUACAUUGUCGUCCUUUAACAAUUUUUGAGGUACCCAAAUAAGCAAACAUGCAUUCUUAUGUAGGAAUGGCAUAAUAAACAUAUUGUAGAGUCGAGCUUGACAUUAUUAGUCACCAUAUCAAAGUAUGGAGUAUUACAAACUACUUAACAAAUCUUUUAUAAUAUCCGACCAACCUUAGAAAGCUUUGUAUCGCAAUCACUAGGGUAGGCCUUGGCCAUUUCUCUAUAGCCUCAAUCUUUUUCAGGUCCACCAUCACACCUUCCUUAGAUACUAUGUAGGCUAAGAAGCUAACACUAUCAAGCUAAAACUCACAAUUGGAGAACUUGGCAUAUAACUCGUGCUCUCUCAAAGUCUGAAGCACUAUCCUCAAAUGCUAUUCAUGCUCAUCUCUACUCCUCAAGUAUACUAAUCUAUCAUCAAUAAAUACCACCACAAACUUAUCCAAGUAUGGCUUGAACACUCAGUUCAUCAUGUCCAUAAAAGCAGUUGGGGUAUUCGUAAGUUCAAAUGACAUCACCGAGAACUCGUAACGCCCAUACCUAGUAUAGAAGGUAGUCUUAGGCACAUCAUUUUGCCUAAUCCUUAACUGAUGGUAGCUUAACCUCAAGUCAAUCUUAGAAAAACAUUGGGCUCCCUGAAGCUAAUCAAACAAAUCAUCAAUGCAUGGUAAGAGAUACUUAUUCUUCUGAUAAAUUUUUUAUAUAGAGUUAUUUUAAUACAUUUUGGGAGCUUAAAUAGUUAGAUCUUUGAGAUUUUAAGUUUAGAUCGUAGCAAUUUAGGUGUUUUUCUAGUUUAAGUUUGAUUACAUGUUGAGUAGUUAAUUUAAGUUAUUUUAGUUAAAUUUUAUGUUAUUUUGUUUUAAAUUAUUCUAAGAGUAGUUAUUGCUAAUUUCUCUUAUUGCUUUUGUCACGACCCGAAACUCUCCUCGAGCCGGUGACAACCGUCGCGAUAUCCCGAUCGACACUCAUUAUCCAAAAUGUCAAUCGGAACCCCGCAAGGCUUUAAUAUCAGUUUCUCAUUUCCCUUGUGAGUAACCGUUGUCAAAUAUCAUGUUCUAAAAGAUUUUAAACUAAUUAUAACUUAAAACAAUAAAAAAAUAAUUUUCGUCUCACAAGGGUAUUUUAGUCAUUUUCCUCUAAAAAUUUCGAAACCAGCUAAUAAUGUAGUAUACGGGUGCAAAACACAUAUUUUAUAAUCAAAAAUAAAUUUGGAUAUCUAAAACAUUCGUUUAAAAUAAAAUUAUGACUAUUAUAAUAAAAUAAAAAUAUUAAAUAAAAUAUUCAAUUUUCUCAAAAAAUAAUAUUUUUAGAACACUGCAUAAAUAAUUUUUACAACGUAAAAGAAAAAUAUAUCAUAUAUAUCAUAACACAGUAAGCCAGAGUAUUUAAUUUAAUUUAUAGUAACAAGUGGGCCCCUGAAUAACAAAAGUAAGGAAGACUGUGAACCUACAGUUUGGAGGAUGCAAAUCCAAUGGUGGUCCUCGAUGAAAUCAGUUAUCUAUAGACUAUCUUGAGCUUGAAAUGGGUGGAAAGGAGGGUGGUGAGAUUAUAUAAUCUCAGUGAGUAAACAAAUACCAUCUAAAAUAUCUAAAGCCGAGUAAAUGGAGACUGAUAAAAUAGUUUAACAAAUUGUAAUUCAUCACUUUUCAACUUGUUUCAACCAAAUAAAAUCAAUCCUUAUAAAUCGAGUAAUCAACAUGGCUUAUGAAUUUCUUAAAAGUUUUGGCUCAUGUCAAAAUUAUUCUCAUACCCAGUUAUCAAGGAUGCCUUGAUCGAGGGCUAUCCCAACCGAGUCCUCCAAGGUUGUUAAAAAGUUAUGUACGCAUAAAUCAUGUUUUUAUUUUGAAAACAUAGACGUUCCUUGGUGUUGGCUAAGUUCACCCUCACGUGGUGGUUUGGCAUGAAGUGAACUCUAAAGUUAUACCUCGGGAGUUACCCUACUCGCCUUUCCAACAGAGGUAAAAUAUAACCGGAUUUCGUGCCCCUCUAAUAGGCUGGUCCAUAGAACCCGCCCACUGCAGCAAGCUAAACCCACCAUACAAUAAAAUUUUGAUAACAUGACAUGACUAAUAUUAUACUACCCAGCCUGUAAAUGUAAAACAGAACAAUUCAUACAGUUCACAAACCACAAUUCCAGCCAGUCAUGCCAACACAUUAUGAUAAGCCAUAAAUUAGAACCAUAAAUUUACAACACAUCAAGUGGUCUCCAGUUACUCUAUUUUGAAAGCCAUCAUUCAAUUUCAAAACAAUUUUAUGAAAUCAUUUCAUUAAAUCACAUUUGGUUUAUAAAUCCGAAAAAUUAAUCAUUUAAUUCAUUUUCCAUAAAAUUCACAAAAUCAAAUAAAACAUACUUUAGAUAAUUAAGACGAUAGUGAGGUUACUCACUAUUUCGGGAGUCGAAUUCCAAGUACUCCGAUUCUUGAUCCUUGGGUACUAUCUCUUUACUUUUGCCAGAAUGCUCACCACCUAGACAUAAUGCACAAUAAGCCAUUUACUACAUUGUGCUAAAUUAUUAUAAAACCAAUUUAGGCUUUAUACUAAUGUAUGAAAUGGGAUGCAAAUUGUUUGGAUUAUUGUCUAAACACGGUGUUCUACACAAAUUCAAUUGUGUACCUAGAUAAAACGGUAUUGGUGUAAUUUGAUCUAUCACUCGAUUAAUUGGCCAAUACGUCCAAUUCAACUCCAAAUAAUUUCAUUUUUCUCCCAAUACUCCAAAUCAUCAAACACAAAUUAAAUAACUUGAAAUAUGGCAAAAUCAUCCUCACAUUUUCUCUUGGAAAAUUCAGCCAUGGUGGGUGCAUCAACACUAUAAUUUUUCCUACUUGAUUCUCACACCAUAAAUCACUAAUUCUUAACCAAAUCACUUGAAAUAAAAAUCAAAAUCAUCCUCAAUAUUCCACAUGGAGAAUUUGACCAAUGAUGGGUGAUGGAAGAACAUGAAUUUUUCUUGCUUGAUUUUCAUGCUAUACAUCACUAACUAACUAAAAACAAUAAAAUAUCUUAAAAUCUAACCAAAUCAAGCAUCAAAACCUCUCUCUAAAUGUUUAGCCAGCAAGAUACCCAUCAUGAAAUCAUGUGAUUCAACCAUGGAAAAUGCAAAAGAAUGCAUGGAAAAGGUAAAUCACAAGUCAAAAUCAAGAAAUUUUACGUUUGAUUGCUUGAUUACUUGAAAUCCACCAAUUUUCUCUUGAAUUUUCACCCUAGGGUUCUUGUUCUUUCUUUUCUCCCUUUGUUCUU
rnacentral:lncRNA from 1 species